GGGCCCUUAGCUCAGUUGGUUAGAGCAGUCGACUCAUAAUCGACUGGUCGCUGGUUCAAGUCCAGCAGGGCCCA
rnacentral:tRNA from 3 species